rnacentral:rRNA from 3 species
AAUCCAUAGGUUAAUGAGGCGAACCGGGGGAACUGAAACAUCUAAGUACCCCGAGGAAAAGAAAUCAACCGAGAUUCCCCCAGUAGCGGCGAGCGAACGGGGAGGAGCCCAGAGCCUGAAUCAGCAUGUGUGUUAGUGGAAGCGUCUGGAAAGGCGCGCGAUACAGGGUGACAGCCCCGUACACAAAAGCGCAUGUGCUGUGAGCUCGAUGAGUAGGGCGGGACACGUGGUAUCCUGUCUGAAUAUGGGGGGACCAUCCUCCAAGGCUAAAUACUCCUGACUGACCGAUAGUGAACCAGUACCGUGAGGGAAAGGCGAAAAGAACCCCGGCGAGGGGAGUGAAAAAGAACCUGAAACCGUGUACGUACAAGCA